GGAAGUAGAUAUAUAAUAUGUUAUAAAGGAGAAGACAAGUAAAUAUUGAGUGUGAAAGAUCAGUAUGAUUUUUUUACUAUCAUAUGAAUUAUUGAAUUUAAUCUGGUAUUCAACCCCUCAACAUUAUAUUUAAUACAUGCUACUACACCAUUACUUAUCUCUACUAUAAAAGGAGAAUUUGACAAGUAAUCAAGCAAGUCAGCACUAUCGUCGAUGGAAGUUGUCGUGCGGAGAUGGAAGUUGACAAGUAAUUUUCUCCAUGAAGUUGAUCUGAUGCGAAGCUUGUGCCAGAUAAAAGGUUAAUUGAGUUCUCAUCUCCAAUAUGUUUGCAUUCUAACUAUCCUUGUUGAUUCAGUGGUUCCAUGAUGCUACAUUUCGCUUGUUUUUCACCUCUUGAUGCUACUAUGGACAGAAGGCGUUUGCUAAUUUGCACAUUUUUUUCUUCUGAUAAACUGUGCCAAUAUCACCUGUAAUAUAAAAGUUGAUUGAUACUUUUCAUUUUAUAUUGAUGUGCUCUCCAGCGAGAACAAUUUUUUUGACUGGAUGUGUUUAAUUAGAUAUGCUCUUUUAUUUGUGCGAAGUUGUUCAGACUUUUCUUUGAUUCAUUAUUUUAGCUGCAUCAAAAAGGAGUAUGAGUAAUGUUUGGUUCCAUGCAGGACCAAUGAAGGAAGAGAAGCAAAUCACAACCCUUUAGUUCAUGGUCUAGGAGCAGGAAGGUACACAUCCAUCUUUGUGAUAUUCUGAUAUGAAUAAGCAUAGUACUACGUACAGAAUCUCUCAAUUGUGUAGAUAGGUCAUCAAGUAAUGGUUAGUAAUUCAUACUUCUGCUUCACCUUUCAGUUAAUUAUCCGCUUUCAAGUAUUUGUUGCCGAAGUGAGCAUCUAAUUGCAGGAAUUCUAUGAGGUAACCAUCUCAAUCUUUUUGUCACAAGGCUCUUACGCGGUAGAGAUUUUUGCUUGGUCAUAAAUGAAUUAGUUCCAUUCUUUGACAGUAAGAGAAUGGAGCCAGAUGGAGGAACAUCAACAUUGAUGCCAAAAGUUCCAUUCUCUUGUUGUAGUAGUGUAUUAAUUGGAAGAAUAUUUUGAUGAUGUUGAUUGCUUUCUGUUCUCAACUUUUCAUCAUUUUAGAUCACUUUCUGGAUAGUUCAAUACUAUAUUUUCGGGGUUAACUGUAACAUUAUGUGAAUAUAUGUUUAUUGUUAUAAAAUCAAUGUUCAUCAGCAAUCAGCCUUCUAACUAAAUAAUAUUUUUCGCAAG
rnacentral:lncRNA from 1 species